rnacentral:rRNA from 1 species
UACGGGGGGAGCAAGCGUUGUUCGGAUUUACUGGGCGUAAAGGGCGCGUAGGCGGCCACCGCAAGUCAGUUGUGAAAUCUCUGGGCUUAACCCAGAAAGGUCAACUGAUACUGCGGGGCUAGAGUGCAGAAGGGGCAACUGGAAUUCUCGGUGUAGCGGUGAAAUGCGUAGAUAUCGAGAGGAACACCUGCGGCGAAGGCGGGUUGCGUGGGCUGACACUGACGCUGAGGCGCGAAAGCUAGGGGAGCGAACGGG